rnacentral:tRNA from 1 species
GAUCGCGUAGCUCAGCGGUAGAGCAUCUGCCUUUUAAGCAGAGGGUCGAUGGUUCGAGACCAUCCGCGAUCACAA